GAUGAAGAACGUAGCGAAAUGCGAUAAGUAAUGUGAAUUGCAAUUCAGUGAAUCAUCGAAUCUUUGAACGCACCUUGCACCCUUUGGCAUUCUGAAGGGUAUGCUCGUUUGAGUGUCAUUGUACUCUCACACUCCCGAUCUUUGCAUUGGGAGCAGUGGACUUGGGUUUGCUGCUUCACCGUCGCUUACCUCAAAUAGGUUAGUGCAACUCUUGGUUGGACAUAGUACGGCGUGAUAAGUGUUCUUCGCCGGUGCCUCGCAAAGAGGGUGGCCGAUCGGGAUGUUGUGCUCCAAACCGUCUUCGGACAAUCUCUGACGACUUGACCUCAAAUCGAGUAAGACUACCCGCUGAACUUAAGCAUAUCAAUAAGCGGAGGA
rnacentral:misc_RNA from 1 species